rnacentral:rRNA from 1 species
UACGUAGGGGGCAAGCGUUGUUCGGAAUUACUGGGCGUAAAGGGCGCGUAGGCGGCACGACAAGUCGGGAGUGAAAGCCCGGGGCUCAACCCCGGAACGGCUCCGGAAACUGUCGAGCUAGAGUGCGGAAGAGGCAACUGGAAUUCCCAGUGUAGCGGUGAAAUGCGUAGAUAUUGGGAAGAACACCUGAGGCGAAGGCGGGUUGCUGGGCCGACACUGACGCUGAUGCGCGAAAGCCAGGGGAGCGAACGGG